rnacentral:rRNA from 1 species
CCUACGGGCGGCAGCAGUGAGGAAUAUUGGUCAAUGGGCGGAAGCCUGAACCAGCCAAGUAGCGUGCAGGAUGACGGCCCUACGGGUUGUAAACUGCUUUUAUACGGGAAUAACGCGCCUUACGUGUAGGGCUUUGCAUGUACCGUAUGAAUAAGGACCGGCUAAUUCCGUGCCAGCAGCCGCGGUAAUACGGAAGGUCCGGGCGUUAUCCGGAUUUAUUGGGUUUAAAGGGUGCGGAGGCCGUGUGUCAAGUGUGCGGUGAAAGGUCCGGGCCCAACCCGGGCCUUGCAGCGCGAACUGGCGGGCUUGAGACCGCGGAAAGCAGGCGGAAUUCGUCGUGUAGCGGUGAAAUGCUUAGAUAUGACGAAGAACCCCGAUUGCGAAGGCAGCUUGCUGCAGCGGAACUGACGCUGAUGCUCGAAAGCGCGGGUAUCGAACAGGAUUAGAUACCCCUGUAGUC